UAGAUAUUGGAGAAACCCAAAAUUAAACUGAUGUAAUCUGUUAUGUAACAUUUUUGUGGGCUUUGUGUAGAUAUGACUUUUGAGGUCAGAGGCCUUAAUCUUUGCCUUCACCAACCUGUGUCUGUCUGUCUGUGUGCCUGUAUGCUUGCCUCCAUGUCUUGUGUGCCAGUCUGUGUGCAUGCCCCACUCUGUAUAUGUCUGUGUAUCUGUCUGUCUGUUUUUUCCUGGAUAUCUGCUGGCAUCUGCUCCUCACUGUCUCUUUAGCUUCCCAGCCACCUUCCUUUUCUAGGGCUGGAGUUAGAAAUAGUACCCCGACUCAGGGUUACUAUCCCUGCUGAGACUUCUUCUGCAGGGGCCACAGAUGUGGAGCCUUUGGGCUAAACCAGAGGUUCUCAGUCCAACCGGAAACACAGGAGGAACUCUAGAACAUUUGUGCCUUGGAAAGCCUUCUGUUUGAGAAGCCUAAGGCACCGACUGCUUCACAAGGUCUCCAGAAACUUCUAACCUCCAGCUAGCCAGAGACUUUACUGAAGACCGAAGUUGGGAAAAUGACGUGUAACAAAUCCAGCUGCAAAUACUACAGUGAAGGAUAAGCUCGCUCCGAAGCUAGAAACUCAGCCCCACACUCACUUACCUUUGCUCAGAAGCCGGCCGGUGCAGGAGUCCUGCAAAUUCCUACGAGCUCAACAAUAUUGUCAAAGGGAGCUCCGGGCAGACAGUCAGCAUUUAAUAGCCUUGUGACCUCCAGCAAAGAGCCAAUUCUCUCUGUUCUUCCCAUCCACGCUGUUUUCUCAUCUAUGAGGUGCCAGUCCUUCUAUGGGCAAGGAUUUCAAUGGGAAUUGUCACCAACUGGGAAAGAGUGGACACAACUGUACAACAAUGGGAGUUGAGCACAGGGUGCUGCGCAAUAAAUGUCACAAACUUCCAGUUGGCACAAGGGAAACGGAAAAAGAAUAAACAGCGCUUACUCUGCUUCGGACCUCAAAUGCUACCUAAAAUCUACCUACACUCCAUCAGUCUCAAUGACUCAUGUUAAAAUCCCUGCUAAUUGUGUGAAAAUAUUACCUGCUGACCAUCAGAGAAGCAACCCCAAAGUGUGAUGGCCUGUUUGCAGAGCAUCAUGCCUGGAGCUGAGCCUGGCAUAGGUUCAUCAUCUCAGUCCUAGUUUUGGAGAUGGGAAAGCCAUGGUUUGGUGGACUCCAGCAUGUAUGUGGCAGAACUGGGGUGUAGAAUGAAGACUACUCUACCCAGAGGAUUCAUGAUAAUGGAGCAAUGAGACAGAAUGCUAUCAUUGGAGGAGGGAGGAUCUGGAGACCUCAGAUCAGCAGAAGGACAUGUGCCUGGAUGGUUCAGCUUGGGAAGUGGAAAUAGCAAGGUGACACUCAGAGAAACAAACAAGGAGAAGCCACAGAGGCCCCUCGCCUCCCCCUCCUCUUUUCUCCUUU